GCUUACGUCCAUACCAGCCCAAGAACGCCCGGUCUCAUCUGAUCUCAAAGGCUAAGAAGGCUUGGGCCUGGUUAGUACUUGGAUGGGGGACCUUCUGGGAAUACCAGGUGCUGUAAGCU
ensembl:rRNA 5S_rRNA 5S ribosomal RNA